AACGUAGGAGACAAACGUUAUCCGGAGUUACUGGGCGUAAAGGGCGUGUAGGUGGUUUCGUAAGUCUGGCGUGAAAUUUUUCGGCUUAACCGGGAAAGGUCGUCGGAUACUGCGGAGCUAGAGGACGGUAGAGGCGUGUGGAAUUCCGGGUGUAGUGGCGAAAUGCGUAGAGAUCCGGAGGAACACCAGUGGCGAAGGCGACACGCUGGGCCGUACCUGACACUGAUGCGCGACAGCAUGGGGAGCAAACAGG
rnacentral:rRNA from 1 species